AUGGGUGGCGAGUGGCGGACGGGUGAGGAAUACAUCGGAAUCUACCUUAUCGUGGGGGAUAACGUAGGGAAACUUACGCUAAUACCGCAUACGACCUACGGGUGA
rnacentral:rRNA from 1 species